AGUGCACUGCACAGGGGUCCCUGACAGUGCCCGUGCUUGGCUGUGAUCGCUGCCUGGCGUCUCCGCUGCUCCACUGGAUGUUUGCGCAGAGGACAUUCGCCUCCGCCGGCGACAGCACCGAUCCCCGCGGCUCAAUCCAGCUCGUUCCCACACCUUUAACUUUUUCCAACGCGUGACUGUUUAGUCGCGGUCAACCCUUUCCGACACUGACUAUGUUCCUCUCGGGUGAGAAAACCCUGUAGAGCCAGGCGUUUAUUUGACUUCCAACUUGCGGGCUUGAUGGCACAGUUCUCUGAGACAGGUUUGGAAAGUUGAGCUGCGUCGAGGAAGCAUGGGCGCAAACUUUAAAAGCUUUUUAUAAUCGAGCGACAGUUUUUUAUUUUAUUUUAUUUUAUUUUUAAUUUUUUUUUUUUUUUAGAAUGAAGGCAGGUGAGUCACCCGUCGCGUGAGAGGCGCGCAUAGCUCCACGGCUCUCCAGGUGCGGGGAAGGAAAAGGCUACACGGAGGAAGUCGUGAUCUGUGCUGCGGAUUGCGCUACGGAGGACGGAGGGAACGGACCGAUGAGACAACAUGGGUCCACUGCUGUGUGAUGGACGACUGACACACCUCCUCUUUCCUCUCCUCCUCCUCUUGCGGGCUCCCCUGCUGUUCAGCUUUGGCGAGCGCACCUGCCCCAAUAGCUGCAGAUGUGAGGGGAAAACUGUCCAUUGUGAUUCAUCUGGCUUCAUAGAUGUACCAGAAAACAUCUCAAUUGGCUGCCAGGGCCUCUCCCUGCGCUACAAUGAACUGCACACCCUGCUACCAUAUCAAUUCGCCCACCUCAGCCAGCUUCUCUGGAUAUACUUGGACCACAAUCAGAUUUCAGCUGUUGACAGUCGAGCAUUCCAGGGGGUCCGCAGGCUUAAAGAGCUGAUACUGAGCUCCAACAGGAUCAAAUCCCUGCACAAUUCUACAUUCCACGGGAUUCCUAAUCUUCGCAGUCUGGACUUGUCCUACAACAAACUGGAAAUCCUGCAGCCAGGUCAAUUCCAUGGCUUACGCAAGCUGCAAAACCUACACCUACGCUCAAACGGUCUCUCCAACAUCCCGAUUCGAGCGUUCCUCGAGUGCCGAAGUUUGGAGUUUCUUGAUUUGGGCUACAAUCGAAUCAAGGCUCUCACCCGCACCACCUUUUUGGGCCUACAGAAGCUGAUGGAAUUGCACCUGGAGCACAACCAGUUCUCACGGAUCAACUUUUUUCUGUUUCCGCGCUUAGCCAACCUGAGAUCACUGUAUCUGCAGUGGAACCGCAUUCGGGUGGUAAACCAGGGCCUUCCCUGGACUUGGUAUACGCUGCAGAAACUUGAUCUUUCAGGAAAUGAAAUCCAGACCCUGGACCCAGCUGUGUUUCACUGCUUGCCCAACCUUCAAGUCCUCAACCUGGAAUCCAACAAACUGUCUAACGUGUCUCAGGAGGCGGUGUCGGCAUGGAUCUCGCUGACCUCCAUCAGCCUUGCUGGGAACAUGUGGGAUUGUGGGACUGGCAUAUGCCCCCUUGUGGCUUGGUUGAGAAAUUUUCGGGGAAGUAAAGACACCACUAUGAUAUGCAGCAGCCCAAAGUAUCUCCAGGGAGAAAAAAUCAUGGAGGCCACGAGGAACCACGGUAUUUGUGAGGAGACUGAUUACGUUCUGACUGAAACACCCUCACCAACGUCAGAGCUCAUUUCUGAAGCCACUGCUGAACCAACCUUUGCCCCGACUAGCAGCUCUCCACCCAUGCCACCAAGCAGCACCUUUGGUCCCCCCCCACCGUUCAGACCUCAACCUAUCCCUCAUCCUACUUUUCCGGGGCAUAUGAGCAAAAACCCUAGAGACUCAGUCGCUCGCACUCGACCCACUCACACACCACCCCCAGAGGUGGAGCACAUGACUCUGCAUAAGGUGGUGGUGGGCAGUGUGGCACUCUUCUUCACCAUGUCCCUAAUCUUGACAAUUAUCUAUGUGUUGUGGCGGCGCUACCCGGGUGCAACCAGGUUGCUGCAGCAGCGAUCCAUGGUGGGGCGGAAGCGUCGCAAAAAGAGUCCAGAGCCAGAGCAGAACCUGAGCUCCCAGCUCCAAGAGUAUUACAUGAGCUACAACCCUGCUGCCACACCGGAAGCAUUGGAGGUUCUAGGCAAUGGCACUGGUUCCUGCACUUGCACAAUUUCUGGCUCCAGGGAGUGUGAGGUAUGAUCCAUCGCAUCAGCCUAAAAAUAAAAACUCAAAAUCAAAAUACAAAGGCUCAACACAGAGAAUGAGUAUACGUGUCCACGCCCCCUACCUGGUGCCUGGCUUGGAGAUGUGCCUACCAUCCAUUAACCCCCCCACCAACAAAGGUAACUGCUUUGGAUGGUUGCAGCAAACCACAGUGAAACAGGGAUACACAGGAGAGGGACACGUGAAGAGAACCCAUCAGGAUCCUACUCCCAUUACUCACAUUCAAGAAUACAUUUCAAAUGGUCCUCCACGCUAACAAGGACAGCCAUGGACCAGGGCAAAGAGGAGAUAAUACUGUCUUUUUCUUUUUCUUAAGAUUUUAUAACAUGUUUUUUUUUUUUUUUUUUUUUUGACCUGUGGUCACUGGUCAUCAGCUUUGUUGCAUUUCUUCACGCUUUCACUACACAAACACUGACGUCGAUCAUUGUGGAAAUGCAGUCCUAUGGUGAACAGCAGAGCACUGGAAGAAGACUCAUGAGCACUGAUGGAUGGUUCUAACCAACACGUGAGCUUACUGUAUAGACUGCAAUAGCUUAUUGUCUCCAUGAGGACAACGUGGCAUUGUUUUAAAAAACACAGGCAAACGACUGUACAAAAUCCAAGAGGCUUUAAAAAAGUGUAAACUGAGCAAUGCAUCAUUAUUGAAAAUGCACUGAAGAGGUAGCUCUGACCACUCUGCUAACACAGCUGUGUAUAAUUUAAAGUGGGUUUGCAUACUUUGAUUCCAUAUGAAGCAUCAUGUUUUCAUCUUUCAGUAUUUUUUUCUUUUUUUUUUUAAGAUAGACUAAUCAAAGGAUGAUGUAAAUGUGCCUCACUGGAGCGGAAAAAUUAUGAGAUGAGUCACUGAUUUUCUGUGCACCUGUCAGUAAAGAGGAGUGAGGUGGAAAUCAAGUCAGCAGCUGGAAGAUUGUUUGAAGCGUGGGAAAAGUUGCCAGAGGAAAAGCAAACUAUCCCCCAGCCAAUGACUUUUGGUGAGUUUUUUUUUUUUUUUUUGGUUUGUUUGUUUGUUUGUUUGUUUGCUCUUUUUAAAAAAAAUUUCUAAGUUGUUUCUAAUUGCAAUCAAACAGUGGCGAUCUAGUUUGAUUUGGAGGACAGGAGAGGCAAUCAAAAGCAAAAGAGGGAAAAAAGAAAAAAGCUCCUAUCAAGGCUAAAAUGUACUUUUCUGCAAUUGUAAUGUUGUUAAUGUUGUACUUUAUGAAUAUGUGUUCCUGCCAUUAUCAACACCAAAUACCAAAGAGCCAAAUGAAGCAUUUUUUUUUGGCGUUUGGCUCUCCCAACCAUGGGCUAUAAACUAUUCAGGAUUUGUCCCCUUAAAGGUACUAUAUGUAAGAAUGUGGUGUAAUUUACAUGUGUUAAUCACUUUUUUUAUUGCCAAUGUGUGAACGGAGUAUGGUGAACCUAAAAAAUGAGACCCAAGAUGUAUUCGCUCUCCUACAGCACUGGUUCUCAAACCUUUUCACAUCAAGGACCCCUGAACUGACACAAAUUACACCAUGGACCCCACUCUGAUAAGAUUUUUGCUUUUAGAUAUUUUAUCACAGAAAGUUUUUGAAAUCCAUGGAAUUACAGUGGAAAUAAAUGAUUCCCCUCUGUCCUGGGGACCCCCAGGAAAUGCCUCAAGGACCCCUCGGGGUCCACAGACCCCUCUUUGAGAACCACUGCCCUACAGCACCAACAGUGUGCAACACUAGCUAACGUUAGCUUAGAACUGAAGUCCGCUAACGUCAACAAACAACCGGCUCCCAGCACAAAACGAAAUGUAUUUGACAUUUUUCCAGUCUAAGGUUACUCGUACCACUCCUAUCACCCCUGAUGGUUUAGUAUUGUCAUUGCCUCAACCCACUGCCAGACCCAUUCUGUACAGUAGCGUUAGCCAAACUAUGGUCUCGCAUAGCCAGACCUGCCCCCACACUUUGUUUUAGCACCAUGUCAGCGCUGGAAAGUCAAAUACAGUCUAAAGUAUAGCUAAUUUAUAGUCAAACUAUGGUUAUAUUCACUCUCAUAUAGGCUAUGUCACGUCACUGUUUUGGUUGAUUCCCUGAAUGCUCACUGUACCUAUGCUAACUCUAGUUCACUUAAUGGCCACCAUUAUUAUCAUUAUUAACAAGGGGUUUCCUGAAUGUUACAUAUAGCACCUUUAAAAGAAAUCCACGAAAAAUCAAAAGAAGCCUCAACUCCUCUCACAUCCAGCAGUGCUCUGUAAACCGAAUCUGCUUUUUUUUCCCCAUGUGUGUAAUGUGUACGUCUUUGUGAACCAAUGUUGCAACGACAGUCUUGGUUAGGAAGCACUUGUCUGAAAGAUAACUCUGAGCACUGCUUUACAUUUUGUGACUUCUGUUUAACACAUGCUUCACUUUCCUUAAAAUAAUCAGCCCGUCUCUCUCUCUUUCUCUCUCUCCUCUCGAGAAGAGAUAGCAGAUGUUGCUGUGUGUGAUUCUGCGUGUGCUUGUGUUUCAUCCAUUAUAAGUUUUUAAUUAUAUUUGAGACGCAUUUAGUUGUGAAUUGUUUGUUUCAACCUGCAAACAUAAUCUUUCUACGCCAGAAAAUGGUAAUUUUCUAUUGUAAAUUUCUGCUUUCCCCCCUUCAAUUUGUUGAUAUUUAGUAAGCAGCUGUAUUCUUUGUUCACUUUCAACAGUAUGUUUUAUAAUGAAAAUAAUGACUUUAUUGUUGAGCAAUAUGAAUUGGUCAAAUUAAAAUAAUCAUUAAUCA